rnacentral:SRP_RNA from 1 species
GCCAGGUAUGGUGGCGUGCACCUGUAAUCCCAGCUACUGGGGAGGCUGAGGCAGGAGAAUUGCUUGAGCCCAGGAAACGGAGGUUGCAGUGAGCCUAGAUUGCGCCACUGUACUCCAGCCUGGGUGACAGAGCGAGACUCUGUCUCAA